CACCCGUGUUUAUUGUACCUUGUUGCUUCGGUGCGCCCGCCUCACGGCCGCCGGGGGGCUUCUGCCCCCGGGUCCGCGCGCACCGGAGACACCAUUGAACUCUGUCUGAAGAUUGCANUCUGAGCAUAAACUAAAUAAGUUAAAACUUUCAACAACGGAUCUCUUGGUUCCGGCAUCGAUGAAGAACGCANCGAAAUGCGAUAACUAAUGUGAAUUGCAGAAUUCAGUGAAUCAUCNAGUCUUUGAACGCACAUUGCGCCCCCUGGUAUUCCGGGGGGCAUGCCUGUCCGAGCGUCAUUGCUGCCCUCAAGCACGGCUUGUGUGUUGGGCUCCGUCCCCCCGGGGACGGGCCCGAAAGGCAGCGGCGGCACCGAGUCCGGUCCUCGAGCGUAUGGGGCUUUGUCACCCGCUCUGUAGGCCCGGCCGGCGCCAGCCGACAACCCAUCAUCCUUUUCAGGUUGACCUCGGAUCAGGUAGGGAUACCCGCUGAACUUAAGCAUAUCAAUAAGC
rnacentral:rRNA from 1 species